UGAUGAGCAAGCUGAGACUCAUCUCAUCUUCUACAUAUUAUUUUCCUUUCUUCUGCCUUACUGUUUCUUUAACCUUGUUAUGGUUAUUAUCUUCCAUAAAUAAAUGGAAAAAUUGCUUUGCUGAUUGAUACAUUAAUUGUUUCCUUCUUCUCAUUGUUACUGAACCAAUUGUGCUUUUCAAAUUUUAGUCAGACCGAGCUUCAAUGCUGGAUGAUGCCAUCAAACAUAUUAAAGCCCUCAAGCUUCAAAUACAAAUGAUGUCCAUGGGUAGAGGAGCUCUGUACCAGGCUUCAAAUUUGUCCAUGGCUGGGAUGCAAAGCACACAAACACCCCAAUUCAUGUCAUAUGUGCCCAUGGGAACGAGCAAUGCCUAUGGAAUGGGAAUGGGAAUGGGAAUGGUUAAUAUGUGCUACUCAACAACAGGCCUUCCAAUCAUGUCUGUUCCCUCAGCCGGCUUCAAUCCAUUACAGCCAGCAACUGCAGGGUUCCCUCUAAUGUCUGCACCAGGAGUUCUUCCUGUUAAUCCCCAAUUGCAAAUGCCGAUGCCAUUCGUUGCUUCGCAAGUAAUGCCUACAGCCACUACCACAUCCAGGUCCAGAAAUAUGGGUCAGCCGCAAUUUGCUACAGAUUUCUCUCACACAUUCAACUAUGCAAAACCAAGGAGAGUCUAGUUUCCAAAACAACACAGACAACGCAGCUUCUGCUGACAACCAGAGAGUGCCAAUUAUAAGCAAGAAAUCUAAGGUGCUGGCUAGUCAUGUGGUAACACCCCCUUCAUCAGUCAGUGACAAGUAGCCGUUCACGUUCCCUAUUUUGACAGUUCAUCUGGCUGCGAUAAUUCAAGUCAGUAGAAUUGCCAUUUUUCUUUGUUGGUAACUUUACACUAGAGUUUGCAUAAUGAUGUGGAUGCUUGUGUUUGAUGUUUGCCGGAUGAAAGAAGGCAAGCACUAAACUAAGCAGCAAACGAACAAAUCUUUCUUAAGUCUCUGCAGCUUGGAAACAAUCAAUCAACAUGUCUUGUUUUCAUAUAUCUAGCUUCUCUUCAUCUUGUCUUCCUCUAGAUUAUUCUAGAAGAGAAGUAACAUAGUAGCUAGAGUAAUGAUG